GCCUGGUGGCAUCCACCUGUAAUCCUAGCUUGUGGGGAGGCUGAGGCAGGAAGAUCACUUGAGCCCAGGAGUUAGAGACCAGCCUGGGUAACACAGUGAGACCUCAUCUCAA
rnacentral:sRNA from 1 species